rnacentral:rRNA from 1 species
GUGAUGGCUAUAAAAAAACUGUUUUAGCUUAGAGUUUGGAUAAGAGGAAAGGUGGAAUUUCGGUGUGGAGGUGGUAAAAAUGGGUAAAAUAUACGGGAGGAACACCAGAAAGCGAAGGCGGGCUUGCUGGGUCUUAACUGACGCUGAGGCACGAAAGCGUGGGGAGCAAACAGGAUUAGAUACCCUGGUAGUCCACGCCCUAAACGAUGAGUACUAAACGUUGGAUAAAACCAGUGUUGAAGUUAACACAUUAAGUACUCCGCCUGAGUAGUACGUACGCAAGUAUGAAACUUAAAGGAAUUGACGGGACUCCGCACAAGCGGUGGAUCAUGUUGUUUAAUUCGAAGGUACCCGAAAAACCUCACCAGGUCUUGACAUGCUUUUGCAAAGCUGUAGAAAUACAGUGGAGGUUAUCAGAAGCACAGGUGGUGCAUGGUUGUCGUCAGCUCGUGUCGUGAGAUGUUGGGUUAAGUCCCGCAACGAGCGCAACCCUUGUUGUUAAUUGCCAUCAUUAAGUUGGGGACUUUAGCAAGACUGCCAAUGAUAAAUUGGAGGAAGGUGGGGACGACGUCAAAUCAUCAUGCCCCUUAUGACCUGGGCUACAAACGUGAUACAAUGGCUGUUACAAAGGGUAGCUAAAGCGUAAGCUUCUGGCGAAUCUCAAAAAAGCAGUCUCAGUUCGGAUUGAAGUCUGCAACUCGACUUCAUGAAGUUGGAAUCGCUAGUAAUCGCGAAUCAGCAUGUCGCGGUGAAUACGUUCUCGGGGUUUGUACACACCGCCCGCAACACCCCGAACGCUCCUUCUUGUU